rnacentral:lncRNA from 10 species
GCAACAGGACACAGCUCCGGGCGCCGGCGUAGAAUCUGAGCUGCAGGUGAGGGUUAGUUCCUUUAUUCGGCCUCUGCGUUCUCUUAGGAUGUUACAUUUUGUUUCCUUUUUCAGCCUGUCUACCCUGGUCACACCCUGCUUCGAGUUUCUCUUCCUCCUUUGCCCCCGGUUUGGGCUCUGACUGGUGGAAUUGUUCCAGGAAGUUGACAAAACAUCCUAGGCUUUUGUAAUCACCUGUUAACCUUUCCCAGCUCUGGAUCAGAAGCAGCAACUUCCAUGAGUUGUGACGCAGAGCAGACAAUUCUAUUAGCUGGUGUUAGUUUCCAAUGGUAUAGCCCCUUGGAACUUUUCUCCAAAGAAUCGUGGCCCUCACCGUCCGCAGUGCCUGACAUUAGGAUCUCUACUCAGCCAGAAAAAUAAAUCCACCCCCGUGCCUUUGUCAAAGACAAAGCAGGACAGUAAAGCGGUUGAGACAGGUUUUAACCAGUAAUAUACUAAUGGAAUAAGGAGGAGUCCAGCACGAACUGAACUCAACUUUGAUUUGUACAAAUGUUACUCAGACUUUAAAGGAAAAAUGGGGAAAUAGGGAAGGGGAGAGGAAUGAGGGGGCGCUCAGAAGAGUGAGGGAAGUGAAAGAUUACAAAAAGUGCGAAGUAGGGGUUAGUCCAUGUGAAACCCAUCUGGGUUUGUUAAAGGGUGUUUCUGGAAGUUAGGCUUUUAUCCUCCUACAGAUGCUGGGAGAUAGGAGCCAUAUCUUAAGGUGUUGGCUGGAACAGUAAAUUCCUUUGGCAGCCUGAGUUUUUUUAGGCAGGCCCUUUAAAGCGGGGCUGGAGUCAUCCUAGAGAUGCUACCUUGAACUGUUAGAGACUGUGUUAGAGUUUUGUUCAAGUCUGUUGAGGCCUAGUCCACAAAUGGCUCAGAGGAACCUGGCUAGAGUUUGGUCAAGGAGAGAAUUUUUGUUACUCCGCAUAUUCUGCACAUUAUUCUGUGUGAGGUGUUGUAUUUUACGUACCCUGAAGUUUGAAUUAUUGCAUAUAUGUUGGAAAAGAACUGAAUUCUCAGUACAUAUUAUUUAUAUCCUUAUUUAUUUUAAACAAUUUAGGUUUAUUUACAAACAAGUUUCAUAUAAUGUUAUAGAACCUGCAAAUACAGAUGCUCUCUAUAGGCCAAAUUGUUUCACAGCACCUUCCAAAGAGGCAGUCAGUCAUUUGCUAAGGUUAAGGUUGAAGCUGUAUAGGAGGUGAUGCCCAAUUCCUCAAAGAAAACAAUAAACAGAAGAACUAGCA